UCCGCCCGCCCCGCCCCGCCCCGCUGCGGCGCUCGGUCCCCGGGGCCGGCGGUUGUGCCCGUUACGUGGGGACGGGGUGGAAGGUCGGAGGGACCCCCUGAGGGACACCAACCCUACAGGGGAAUGGCGCCUUCGUCUUGGUAGGGACCGGCGACGAUUACAGAGGACAGUGGCAUCUUCCCCUCAGGCAGAGCGGCGUUCAGGGGGCAGUGGCUUCUUCUCCUCAGAGACUGGGACAGCGGUUCAGAGGGCAGUGGCAUCUUCCCCUCAGGCAGAGACCGGGAGAAGGUUCAUGAGGAACAGCGCUUUCCCCUCAGGCAGAGACUGGGACAGCGGUUCAGGGGGGCAGUGCCAUCUUCCCCUCAGGCAGAGACCGGGAGAAGGUGCGUGAGGAACAGCGCUUUCCCCUCAGGCAGAGACCGGGAGAAGGUGCGUGAGGAAUAGCGCCUUCCCCUCAGGCAGAGACUGGGACAGCGGUUUAGGGGGGCAGUGCCAUCUUCCCCUCAGGCAGAGACCGGGAGAAGGUGCGUGAGGAACAGCACUUUCCCCUCAGGCAGAGACUGGGACAGCGGUUCAGGGGGGCAGUGCCAUCUUCCCCUCAGGCAAAGACCGGGAGAAGGUUCUGAGGAAUAACGCCUUCCCCUCAGGCAAAGACCGGGAGAGAGGAAUAGCGCCUUCCCCUCAGGCAGAGAUCGGAAGAGGGGUACGAAAGAGAAUGGCGCCUUUGCCUCAGGAGGGAUAUUGCACAUACCCAUGAAGUAACUGAUACAGGCAUGCACAGAUGCUCAGGAAAAUGCUAAGGAGGACGAAUUUUAAUGGAAGAGGGCUAGGAACGCUGAGCCUGAACAGCUCCUUGCUCUUGAGGUUGGUGCCAUUACAUCUGCUUGGGCCAAGCUGGAUAAGGACAGAGUCCUGGUUGCAGGUAACCCUGCCCAGCACCAGAACUCAGCUCUGGGAAGAGGCAUUUGCUCAGUCUCCUGUAUAUUGUACUAUUUACACAGUCAUUGGUUGCAUCCCAUUGCCAGCUGGGCAGGUGACAGGGGUGUUUUUGACACAAGGGACUCUCCCACUGGUCCCAUUUAAAAAAAUACAAUUCAUACUUUUUAAAAACUUAAA